UACAGAGGUCUCAAGCGUUGUUCGGAUUCAUUGGGCGUAAAGGGUGUGUAGGUGGCGCGCUAAGUCGGGUGUGAAAUUUCGGAGCUUAACUCCGAAACUGCAUUCGAUACUGGCGUGCUUGAGGACUGGAGAGGAGACUGGAAUUCGAUGGUGUAGCAGUGAAAUGCGUAGAGAUCAUGAGGAAGACCAGUGGCGAAGGCGGGUCUCUGGACAGUUCCUGACACUGAGACACGAAGGCCAGGGGAGCAAACGGGG
rnacentral:rRNA from 1 species